GACGAGAAGCUUGCUUCUCUGAUGUUAGCGGCGGACGGGUGAGUAACACGUGGAUAACCUACCUAUAAGACUGGGAUAACUUCGGGAAACCGGAGCUAAUACCGGAUAAUAUUUUGAACCGCAUGAUUCAAAAGUGAAAGACGGUCUUGCUGUCACUUAUAGAUGGAUCCGCGCUGCAUUAGCUAGUUGGUAAGGUAACGGCUUACCAAGGCAACGAUGCAUAGCCGACCUGAGAGGGUGAUCGGCCACACUGGAACUGAGACACGGUCCAGACUCCUACGGGAGGCAGCAGUAGGGAAUCUUCCGCAAUGGGCGAAAGCCUGACGGAGCAACGCCGCGUGAGUGAUGAAGGUCUUCGGAUCGUAAAACUCUGUUAUUAGGGAAGAACAUAUGUGUAAGUAACUGCGCACAUCUUGACGGUACCUAAUCAGAAAGCCACGGCUAACUACGUGCCAGCAGCCGCGGUAAUACGUAGGUGGCAAGCGUUAUCCGGAAUUAUUGGGCGUAAAGCGCGCGUAGGCGGUUUUUUAAGUCUGAUGUGAAAGCCCACGGCUCAACCGUGGAGGGUCAUUGGAAACUGGAAAACUUGAGUGCAGAAGAGGAAAGUGGAAUUCCAUGUGUAGCGGUGAAAUGCGCAGAGAUAUGGAGGAACACCAGUGGCGAAGGCGACUUUCUGGUCUGUAACUGACGCUGAUGUGCGAAAGCGUGGGGAUCAAACAGGAUUAGAUACCCUGGUAGUCCACGCCGUAAACGAUGAGUGCUAAGUGUUAGGGGGUUUCCGCCCCUUAGU
rnacentral:rRNA from 1 species